CCUCCAGGCCUGAGGGCACUCAUUUUCUAGUAGGCUUAGAUUGAAUAUAUGGAAAAUAUCGUCCACUAUUAUCCUCAGUAAUUUUAAUUCCAAGUUGUCAGACCCCGUGGCUUGUCAUUGUUGAUAGACAACAAUUGUUGAACCUCUUCCACACUCACUUUACGGAAUUCAAAAGUGCAAUGCUUGUCUUUCAUAAUUUGAUCAGUUAUACUUGGAUGUGGAGUGUCAGUGGGUUUUGUGAUGAAUAUACCUUUACAUCAACAACAUAGGAAUCUCUACAAAACGCAUUGUCUGACCUCUUCUACACUAUAUUUGUAAGGAACAAUGUUGAAGACAAGAAGAAGGUACAGGGAGUGAACAUUUAAUGUAAUACGGACAUGAAACAGAACAUGAACAGCGUCUGGACAGGUGAAAAAUAACAACAUCAAUGCUGACACAGGGAACAAACUGAGGAGCAGACAGAAAUAGAGGGGGUAAUCAACAAAGUAAUGUUGUCCAGGUGAGUCCAAUAUUGACAGCUGUGCGUAAUCAUGGUGACAGGUGUGCGUAAUGAAGGGCAGCCUGGCGCACUCGAGCACCAGAGAGGGAGAGCGGGAGCAGGCGUGACAGUACCCCCCCCUCUAGGGGCGUCACCCGGGGUCCCACCUGGGCGAGCCUGACGGGCCGGCCGAGCCAUGGGCAAGCCGGCAGAGGUGUGGGAGCCUGGCGAGCCGACAGAGGCGUUGGAGCCUGGCGAGCCGACAGAGGCGUUGGAGUCUUGGUGAGCCGGCUGAAUCAUGAUGUGGGGUGGGUGCCUGCCGAGCCCACCAAGACAAGAAGACCUCUCGAGCCAGCUAAGGCAUGGAAGCCCGAUGAGCCAGCUAAGGCAUGGAAGCCCGAUGAGCCAGCUAAGGCAUGGAAGCCCGAUGAGCCAGCUAAGGCAUGGAAGCCCGACGAGCAGCAGCACGGCCAGGUGGACUGGGGACAGCAAGGAGUCAUCAUGCCAGGUAGUCCUGAGGCAUGGUCCUAGGGCUCAGGUACUCCAAGGGAGAGAAAUAGAGAAUUAGAGAGAGCAUACUUCAAUUCACACAGGACACCGGAUAAGGCAGGAGAAGUACUCCAGAUAUAACAGACUGAUCCUAGCCCCCGACACAUAAACUACUGCAGCAUAAAUACUGGAGGCUGAUGUGGUGUCAGCAUUCUUUACGGAUCAAUGCUGGAGACGAGAAGCAGGUACAGGGAGUGAACAUUUAAUGAAACACGGACAUGAAACAGAACAGGAACAGCGUCUGGACACGGGAAAAAUAACGACAUCAAUGCUGACACAGGGAACAAACUGAGGAGCAGACAGUAAUAGAAGGGGUAAUCAACAAAGUAAUGGAAUCCAGGUGAGUCCAAUAUUGCACAGCUGAACGUAAUGAUGGUGACAGGUGUGCGUAAUGAAGGGCAGCCUGGCGCCCUCGAGUGCCAGAGAGGGAGAGUGGGGGUAGGCGUGACAAUAUUAGGCCCAGCCUUUGGAACUUUGGUUUUCCUAGAUAUGGCUACUAUACUGUGAUCACUACAUCCGAUGUAUUUGGAUACUGCUUUAAAGCUAAUUUUUGCAGCAUUAGUAAAGAUGUGAUCAAGACCUGUUGAUGAUUUCAUUCCUGUGCUGUUUGUAACUACCCUGGUACGUUGACUGAUAUCCUGAACCAGGUUCCAGGCACUGGUUACAGGUUGAAGCUUUUUCUUGAGUGUGCAGCUUGAUGAAAGCCAGUCAAUAUUUAAAUCACCCACAAAAUAUACCUCUCUGUUUAUAUCACAUACAUUUUCAAGCAUUUCACACAUGUUAUCCAGAUACUGACUGUUAGCACUUGGGGGCCUACAGCAUCUUCCCACAAGAAUGAGCUUUAGGUGAGCCAGAUGAACCUUUAGCCAUAUUACUUCAACAGUAUUUAAUAACAUGAUAUCCUCUCUAAACGUUACAGGAAUGUGGUCCUGAAUAAAAACAGCAACACCUCCGCCAUUGGUAUUUCUGUAUUUUCUGUAGAUGUUAUAACCAGGUAUUGCUACCACUGUAUCAAAGGUAUUCAUCUAACUGAGUUUCAGAGAUUGUCAGAAUAUGAAUGUCAUCUGUUUCUAGAUAGUAAUUGAUUGUGGGCUAUUUUUUGCACUUUUCUGGGAUACUUGAUUGUUUUCAUCAUUGCUUUACUGGGAAGCAUAGCAGAAGUAGACAUGCUCAUGUUAUUUAUGUUAGUGUCGGGUGAGCUGCACACAGUGGACUUCCUACUAGGGCACACCGCCUUAGUGCUAACACUAUAACGCUGCAUCAUAGGCACAUGAUACUGUAUACAAUAGCUGUGGGAUCAGCAGAGGCAUUCAGGGCAGUAAGAGGUACAUAAGUUAGGUUACUUACAUUGUGUCUACCAAUGCCCCUGGGAUAAUGUACAUUUGUUGAAGCAUUUUGACAACUCAGUGACACAAUGGUAGGGAUUAACUGAGCUGGGCUUGGGCCAUUGAUAAGUCGUUGUCUCAACGCACCCUUAGAAUGUUGUGAAAGGAUCCAGGAUCCCAAAUUAUUUGGGUGGAUUCCAUCCUCCUUAUAAAAUGUGUUUUGUUUCCAAAAGGUAUCGAAAUUGUCAACAAAAGUUACACCAAUUAAACUGCAAUAAUCACGUAGCCGUUGUGAAGAGAAAGAAUCAUCCUGCUAAAGCGUUCAAUGCCACGAUUCAGAGAGGGUUAGGGUUAGGGUCUUUUAUUAGUUUCUAGCAGAGAAUCAAUCUCCUCUUUAAAAUCCAGUUUUAACUGUUCAGAGCUGCCCUUCAUAAUGUCAUUAAAACCCACAUGGACUACGAUAGAAUCGAUUUACAUGGGGCUGUAAUGAUCGUUGUUGGAAGGAUGGUCGGACCAAGAUGCAGCGUGGGGUAGGUUAAUCCUUUUUAUUUAUGAUAACCGGCACAAAACAAAAGAGUAACCAACGAAACGUACAGCUUUGUAGGGCUAAAAGCAACAAUACAAAAUCAAGAUCCCACACAUAUGGAAAAAAUAUGAUCCCCAAUCAGAGACAACGAUAGACAGCUGCCUCUGAUUGGGAACCAUACUAGGCCAACAUAGAAAAUAAAAAAACUAGACUACCCACCCAAGUCACACCCUGACCUAACCAAAAUAGAGAAAUAAAAGGUUCUCUAAGGUCAGGGUGUGACAGGGGCGUAGAACAUUUGGGAGCAGCUUAGUAAUGUAAUUUCCUCGAGCUCCUGGAUAGGACAAUGUUUUUGGACCAGGAACAGUGACAUUUGCUACCAUGGAGCUGCCCAAAAUCAUGGCUGGCGAGAAGGACAAGAAAAUCCGCCCUCUCCCAUGCUUCACAGGAUUCAAAGAAUUCUUUAAGGACGGGCGAUGGGCAGGAUAACUUGAGCCUGUAGCUCCCAGCGCCUGGUGCAGGCGUUCGACAGAUGGUGGGGGCGUUCGACAGAUGGUGCAGGCGUUCCACAGAUGGUGCAGGCGUUCCACAGAUGGUGCAGGCUUUCGACAGAUGGUGCAGGCGUUCCACAGAUGGUGCAGGCUUUCGACAGAUGGUGCAAGCGUUCGACAGAUGGUGCAGGCGUUCGACAGAUGGUGCUAGCGUUCGACAGAUGGUGCAGGCGUUCCACAGAUGGUGCAGGCGUUCCACAGAUGGUGCAGGCGUGCGACAGAUGGUGCAAGCGUUCGACAGAUGGACAGAAGCCUCGCUCGAUCCAGAGCACGGAUGGAAGGUUGUCGACGACGACUUGGAAAUCAUAGGGGAAGGAGUAGGCAUAGCAACCGCAGACACAGGUACCCACAUCGAUGAAGGUGCAGGAAGAUCAGGCUCCAAACACAGGUACCCACAUCGAUGAAGGUGAGGGAAGAUCAGGCUCCAGACACAGGUACCCACAUCGAUGAAGGUGCAGGAAGAUCAGGCUCCAGACACAGGUACCCACAUCGAUGAAGGUGAGGGAAGAUCAGGCUCCAAACACAGGUACCCACAUCAAUGAAGGUGAGGGAAGAUCAGGCUCCAGACACAGGUACCCACAUCGAUGAAGGUGCAGGAAGAUCAGACACAGGUACCCACAUCGAUGAAGGUGCAGGAAGAUCAGGCUCCAGGGCAGCGAAACUAUUCGUUGUUUGUAUCUGCUCCAGGCCUCUCGUUGGGAGUGUAACCUGCUUUGUGGGAGGCCGCUGUCUUCGGCUUCCACUGCUCAUGAAAUGCUCAUGAAAUGUGCACAUCAUGGAUUAGCAUGCUCCUCUUGCUGUGCUCCUUUGACUCCGCUAUCAGAUGGGGGAGGAGAGGCAGGAGAUGGCACCCCUGGCGAACAAACUCUGGGCAACACCGGCCAGUUGGACAUUGACAAACUGCAAGGCGGAGAUGCAUCCAAGAAGCCCGAACGCUGUCCAGCCACCGGCGUAGAAAAUGUACACAUUCCACUCUGCGUUUUACCCAGUUUCUUACGUAGACUGGCGACCUGCUUGAUCAAGGAAACCACUUAAAUCCUAUAAUCCUCGGCAAACAAACAAUUGGAACUCAGAGUGAUCCAGCUUGUCCCGAAACGAAGCACCGUAGAUACAGCUCCUACAGCGUUGGAACUCAGAGUGAUCCAGCUUGUCCCGAAACAAAGCACCGUAGAUACAGCUCCUACAGCGUUGGAACUCAGAGUGAUCCAGCUUGUCCCGAAACAAAGCACCGUAGAUACAGCUCCUACAGCGUUGGAAGCGUUCAUUUACUUCUCCAGACAAAAAGGGCUCCAUUUGAAAAACUCACCUGGGACUAACUUCGUUAGCUUGAUGGCUAGCAGCUUAACUAGCGAGGACUAGUCAAGCCAGCAUCUAUUAAGGGGGAUCCCGGGACAAGAAAUAGCGGUCCUAGCUGUUAAAAGCUAACUGGGUUGCGGAAUCCAUGCAAAAACAAGUUCACUAUUUAUAUCUUAUGAAGACUUUUUUUUUUUUUCAAAAACAAGAAAAACAACAAACUUAGUGUUUCCAGCAUACCAUGUUCAGCUGUGACUGAUGACGUGAUCUCUGACAAGACGGGUCGGAGAGAAAAUGGGCCUCGUCCUGGGUGAACAAGGGUAGACGGAGUGCCAGGACUCAGGUGCAUGUGUGUGUAUGUGUGUUUGUGUAUGUGGACAUAGGAUACUGAGGGGUAAGCCUAAUUGUGGCUGUGUGUACGUGGUCUGGAAGGAUGAUAUGUGAACAGGGGCUGCUGAUUGGGUAAUUAUGGGUGUGUGUGUGUGUGUGUGUGUCACUGCAUGUUGUUGGUGAUUAGCUGACAGACAGCGAAAGAUCCAGACACAGAGAGCAGCUGUGUGUGAACCUACCAGCUGCAGCCCAGCCCAGCCCACCUCACACAAACACACACACACACACACACACACCACACCCUUUGUUUGUGUCUGUUUACCCCACGAAAGCCUCUUCGUCACGAUAUGGCUUCAUAGGAAACCUUGAUCCUGGGACAUUAAACAGAACCACGGGGCAUGUAUCAGCCUGACAGAGAUUAGGUUUAUACAGUCAAUAACUUUGGAUCAAGUACUUUCCACAUCUCUUCCACAUGAAUGCUUUUAAUGAAAGUCAUCUGAUAUACACACACACAAUUGUACAUCACUUGCACCAGCAGCAUUGUGGGUUCGAUUCCAGCUGGGACCACCCAUGUCGAAAAUAUAUGCAGGAAAGUCGCUUUGUGUAAAAGUGUCAGCUAAAUGUUAUAUAUUACACAAUUAAGCUUUUAAAAUGGUUGUUCUCCACCCAAAAUCGGAUGUGAUUAAAUGGUGUGUGUUUGCAGAUGGGGAUUGCUAGGAGAACACACUGGUGUAAAAAAAUAAAGUCACUAUUUGUGGCAACAUGUGAUAACUUUCUUGUUAUGGAGUUUUUAAGCUUCUGGGAAGACCUCAUAACUUUCAGUUUCAGAGAGGCACCUCUGACUACAAGGAAGUGACUCAGACAUUUAGAAUGCUGAUGAUCCUCUCUCCAGUGGUAAACAGUAAGAGCUUAUGUUAACAUUAUAAAUCACCUGAUUGACUUUGUUUGAAGUGAGAUAGAGUGUCUAUUUUUGUUAUAUUGUUUAGUAAAUGAAACCUGUAUUAGUGACUGUAUUAUCAUCACACCAGCAGUCAUGAGUCAAGACAGCAGUAAAAUUCCACGUCACUGUAAUCUCCUGUUAUGCACUCUGGACAUGCUUUGGUAGAAUCCAAAUAGCUAACUACCAUCAGGUCCUAAUGGCCUUGUACUCAGGGCUCUGUUGUCCCUCCAUCAGGUCCUAAUGGCCUGUUACUCAGUGCUCUAGUGUCCCUCCAUCAGGUCCUAAUGGCCUGGUACUCAGGGCUCUAGUGUCCCUCCAUCAGGUCCUAAUGGCCUGGUACUCAUGGCUCUAGUGUCCCUCCAUCAGAUCCUAAUGACCUGUCGCGCAGCAAGAACAUGGUCCUCAAACAAUGGUCGAUGCGUGGAGUGUGUUCUUAUAUUGCGUGAAAAGUGUUCCUAUAUUUAGUUCUUAGCAGAUGCUCCUCUAUAAAACCCAAGUAUCCGACACAUCAUCGAAACACCAACCAGUGGGAAAGCGCGUGGUCUCUGUUUAUAUAUGUUUAUUCUACCAGGCAAGUCAGUUAAGAACAAGUUCCUAUUUUCAAUGACGGCCUAGGAACAGUGGGUUAACUGCCUGUUCAGGGACAGAAUGACAGAUUUAUAUCUUGUCAACUUGGGUAAACCGUUACGGUUAUUGGCCCAACGCUCUAACCACUAGGCUACCUGCUGGUUAUUGGCCCAACGCUCUAACCACUAGGCUACCUGCUGGUUAUUGGCCCAACUCUCUAACCACUAGGCUACCUGCUGGUUACUGGCCCAACGCUCUAACCACUAGGCUACCUGCUGGUUAUUGGCCCAACUCUCUAACCACUAGGCUACCUGCUGGUUACUG
ensembl:lncRNA